rnacentral:lncRNA from 1 species
GGGAGAUCAAAACAGGCUUCUCCAAUCCAGUCAGAACUCUGAAAGCUUCAUUAAGGUUUGCGUAGGAGAAAUUUUCUGCUGCAUCUCCGAUAACCACGCAGUUUGGGUUUGUUUUAUCGAUGUCAGCAAAUUCAGGGACAAGAUCAUCGUGCACGAGCAGGUGUGGCCUCAGCCCACGCUCCUUCAGAAGGCGGCAGGCUGCUGGUGCUGGGGCGGUGACUUCAGCCACAGAGAUGUCAAAGCCCAGGCCCUGCAGCUUCUUCACAAAUUUCUCUCGGGUCGCUUGCGUUUCGUUAGUGCAGAACUGCAGCUUUAGGCCUGACGCCUUGAUUCUCCGCACCGCCUCGGCCGAGCCGGCGAUGGGCACCCCGCCGCCCUCCCCGCCGCUGUCGUACAGCACCCCGCUGAUGUCCAGCAACAGCCCCCGCACCGCCCGUGCCCAGGCCGCC